AACCCGUGGUGAUGGCACUGUCUCAAUAAGUCCUUAUACCUCUCCCAUGCAUCAUAUAGAGGUUCUAAAUCGAUCUGCAUGAAGGAGGUGAUAUAAUUCCUCAACUU
rfam:Gossypium hirsutum cultivar TM-1 chromosome 10, whole genome shotgun sequence